UCGGGAUCUGUCUAGCUAGUUCUUCCUAGUAUAUUUUUGUCAUCGAUCUGGAUUAGAUCUGUAAUUUUUUUUUUCUUUUUUUUUGGCGAUCUUGUUCGUAAAUUGAUUGUUUAAAUUCGUUUCCUCGUUUUGUUAAAACCUGGUAUGGCAGGUCGUGACACACUUGUGAUAUGGGAAUGGGAGGAUUACGCAACACCAGAAAAAAUUCAACCCUCGUUCGUUUAAGAAGAAAGUCAGAUCAGCUCUCAAGAAGGACGGUUAUAAAAUCGGGGACUUGUCCAUCUGGAUUUACGCUCCUGAGAAUACAUGGUUGAUUGAUAGGCAAUCGAAAGACAAAUUUUAUCACGCUGGACUUGAAGUCAGUCCCCUUAAAGGGGAUAAACGUACCAGACUUCACAGGCUUCUGGCGGAAGCUAUGGUCUGCUCAUUUAUCUGGACAGCUGAAGAUACUAAUGUUCUGAUACUCUCUGAAAACAAGGAGUACCUUGAACAAGAUCCCAGAUUCUCUAGUUUUCGUGAAGGUUUAAUAAACCAAGGUUUCCCUGUUGCCUUAGCACACCCAGAUGAGGUUCUCCUGAACCAAGUAGAUGAACCUGACUCUGAAUAUGAUGAAGAAACUGCCUGUGAAGAAGAGUUAGCUGACUCCGAAUCCAAAUGCCAAGGACUCUCAACAACUGCCUCUGAAAUGCCUGUGGAUUUGUAACAAUUUCGCCUCUGUAUCUCCCCCAGGUUUAUUUGGUAGUUAACUUGUAUGAUACUUUUAUGAUCGGCCGCCCAUUGUUGUAAUAAGACUUUAUUGCUUGCGUGUAUGCUUAUGUUAAGACUUGGGUUUGAAAUAUGCUAUUUAUUUCAAGACUUGGUUAGAGAA